AUGGCGCCCACGCCCUCCUUCCUCUUCGGCGCCGCCCCGGAGGACACGUCGGCCCAUGCCGUCGUGCCGGACCUCUCCGACGCGGUGGCGCGGGCGCGGCUGCGCCGGCAGGCGGCGUCCGGGCAGGGGAGGCAGCAGGCGGCCUCCCGCGGCGGGGCGCCGCCCAGGAAGACCCCGCAGCGCGGCCUCGGCGUGGCGGAGCUCGAGCGCCUGCGCUGCGGCGGCGUCGACCCGCUGUGCGACCUCAACGCCGCCGCCGCCGCCGCCAUGCUGGAGGCCGUCGCCGCCAACCUGCAGGCGCAGGGCAACUCCGUCGUCCUGCAGCACCACCACGACUACCUGCCCGCCUUCGACGCCGCCACCGGCUCGCGCUACUACUCGCCGCUCCUGGUCCAGCCGCCGCCCGCCCCUCCGGCGCCGCAGCCGCCGGCUCCCGUCGCCGUCCGCUACGUCCAGGGCGUGGCGCCCGAGCAGCAGUACUUCAUGGACCGCUGGGGCCGCAUGGGGGGGUUCGUCCCGGCGGGCCAUGGCCACCAGCCGCAGCUCCAGGUGCCGGCGCCAGAGCACCCUUCAUGCCAAAGCACCAUCUGGCGUCCGGCGUGCUCCUCCGCCUCCUGCCUCCACGCGGGCCAACGCUGCGACCUCUGCUCCAAGGUACUCCGCUGCAAAAAUUGGAGAGCUUUCUGCUCCUCCAACAUUCAUUUUCUUGUGCCAAUUAACCAAUCUUGUCUUCUUUCCUGCGCGCCCGUGUUGAUCUUCUCGAUCUCGCCUACAAAGACGAUGGUGGGCUUGGCAGAUAGAGGAACACGGGCCCCUGCCGCCGCCGGCACCACCAACGCGCCAUACUACUCCAUCUGCGAUCUCGACGCCACCAUGACUGCCGCUCGCAAGGAGACGGCCGGAGAAGGGUUCUUGGUGGCAGCGGAGGGGAGGAAGGAGGUGCGGGAGAUCGAGUUCUUCCCGACGAGGGUCACCAGCCACGGCGGUCCCGACGAGUCCGAGCUGCGCAGGACGCCGCCCUCCUCCUCCUCGCCGUCCGUCGGCGUCGGUAGCUCCCUGGACCUGUCCCUGAGGCUCUAG
rnacentral:rRNA from 1 species